rnacentral:lncRNA from 1 species
AGCACCAGUUUCAUGUUAGGAAUUAAGCACACAAGACUACAUCACUUUCCUGUGGGACACUCGUGAUAGAUCUCAAAGUUGGAAUUCCCUGAGAUAAACAUCCUCUUUAUAUACCAGCAUCCCAUCACUGAUACACAUUUUAUUCUCUCCUUUGACCAGCUUGGUGAUCAGUUCAGUGUCUAAAAACAAUGAGAGAAAAAUUCUUUUCUAAUGUAUUCACAUGCAGUGAUCUACAUUUCCUAAUCAUAAUCAUGCCAGCAAAAGUGGAGCUGCUCUUAGGAUAACAUUUUACUCU